AAGGAAGGCACAGGAAGUGAUGAAGGGAAUGGUCUUUAAAAGUGGAAGAACUUCCUGUGACCAGGUCUUUUGCCUUGGAACUUGACCUUGAAGGAGCUCCAGCUUGGGACCUUGGACUGCUCUUCGAUUUUCCCGUAGAAUCACCAUGUGGGAGAAUAAAUUUCUAUUCCAAUGUUCUUUCUCUCUCGAGAAUUCUCGAGAAUUGUCAUUCUCGGUCACCGAGAGACUACCACUAAUACUGGCUAAGGGUAAGGGGUGCUGCUGGUGGUGUAUGUCUGUGUAAUUGGACUCUCUGUAUACCAGUUGACACGUAAGCUCUGGGUCUUUGGCCAAGCUGGUUCUGGCCUGGAUCCUGAUUUGUAAUUUACAACUUUCUACAAUAAAUUCCAGUUUGGCUUAG
rnacentral:lncRNA from 1 species